GUGAGGAAUAUUGGUCAAUGGGCGCAGGCCUGAACCAGCCAAGUCGCGUGAGGGAAGACGGUCCUACGGAUUGUAAACCUCUUUUGUCGGGGAGUAACGUGCGGGACGCGUCCCGUAUUGAGAGUACCCGAAGAAAAAGCAUCGGCUAACUCCGUGCCAGCAGCCGCGGUAAUACGGAGGAUGCGAGCGUUAUCCGGAUUUAUUGGGUUUAAAGGGUGCGCAGGCGGCGCGCCAAGUCAGCGGUCAAAGUUCCGGGCUCAACCCGGUGUCGCCGUUGAAACUGGCGUGCUCGAGUGCGUGCGAGGAAGGCGGAAUGCGUUGUGUAGCGGUGAAAUGCAUAGAUAUGACGCAGAACUCCGAUUGCGAAGGCAGCUUUCCAGCGCGCUACUGACGCUGAGGCACGAAAGCGUGGGGAUCGAACAGGAUUAGAAACCCUAGUAGUCCC
rnacentral:rRNA from 1 species